AGGAUGUUAACUUAAUGUAAAGUGUUGAAUUUUUAAUUCAAAAAUGUUUUUUCACAUCUUGG
rnacentral:tRNA from 1 species